UAGAUAGAUAGAGUUUUUAUUUUAUACGUUUUUCUAUCCUUCCUUUUCUUUCUUUCUAAAUUCUAAUCCUCCAACUUCUUUUCCCUUUCUCAUUAUACUUCUCCUCCUUUGGAAAUAUUUGAUUUUAUAUAUUUCUUCUUUCAACCUUCAUUUUUCUCAACUAUAUCUUUCUCUAUUCCUCUAUACAUAGUUUUAGUCUUGCAAGAGAAAGAGAGAAACUGGUGAGGAUAUGACUGAUUUUGAAGAAAAAUGAUUAUAUAUGCUCAGAUGAAUCCAAAUACUAGUGUGGAAGAAUGCAUGGCAAGAAGGGUUUAAUUGGUUGGCAUAGUUAUAGAAAAGUGUGAUGAGACAUUUCAUGUUGACAGAAGAGAGAGAGCACAACCCGGGAAUGGUGAAAAGAGAGUCUUUGCCUUUGUUGGGAGUGUGCUCUCCCUUCUUCUGUCAUCAUCAUCACAUACAUCACUCACUAUACUUUCCACCUUUGGCUAUAUAUGCACCAUUCUCUCAUACUACCAAUCAAGGGGACCCCUAUAUUAAGAAUCCUAAUUACAGGUUUCUCUUUGGAAGAUUAUAAGUCAUCAAUUAUCUACUACUAAUUAAAAUCACUGUAUUCUAAAAGUUAGUAGAUUACACAUAGCCAAAUUUUCUUUGUAAUAUUUCUAUUUUAUUUUCUAAUUAUGAAUUUUCUAUAUUAAUAAUAUCAAAAUUUAUCAGA